rnacentral:rRNA from 1 species
UACGUAGGGUGCGAGCGUUGUCCGGAAUUAUUGGGCGUAAAGGGCUCGUAGGCGGUUUGUCGCGUCGGGAGUGAAAUCAUCUGGCUUAACUGGGUGCUUGCUUUCGAUACGGGCAGACUAGAGGUAUGCAGGGGAGAACGGAAUUCCUGGUGUAGCGGUGAAAUGCGCAGAUAUCAGGAGGAACACCGGUGGCGAAGGCGGUCUCUGGCGAUGGAUCUGACGUGAGGAG